rnacentral:lncRNA from 1 species
CCUACAUGCAGGGACAGCUCCCCUCAGUGUCGGUAGCCCUGGGACAGAUGACCAUGAUCAUAUGCUCUGGAGAUAACCUCGGAAUAAACACGCAUUUUGGAACAAGCAGAAGCCAAGCCAGACCUCAAUGUCGGUCCUCUAGUAUAACAUCGACCAGCCCUCAGAGACCUCUGCUUAAUUUUUAGGCCACAAACUAGCGAACAUGGCCACCCUGACCAUCAGCAGUGCCCAGGCCAGGGACAAAGCUGACUAUUAC